GGCUCGGUAGCUUAGUUGGUAAAGCGCUCGUUUAGCAUACAAGAAUCCUGGGUUCAAAUCCCAGCCGAGCAC
rnacentral:tRNA from 1 species